UGGUGGAAGGUGAUGUAGAUACCGUUGAAGUUGUAGUAGAUGGCACAGAGGUCGUUGUUGGAGUUUCUGUCACAGAAGUCGUUGAAAUUGUUGUAGAUACCGUUGAACUUGUAGUAGAUGGAACAGAGGUCGUUGUUGGGGUUUCUGUCACAGUCGUGCUGGAAGGUGUUGUAGAUACCGUUGAAGUUGUGGUCGAUGAAACAGAGGUCGUUGUUGGAGUUUCUGUCACAGUAGUGGUGGAAGGUGUUGUAGAUACUGUUGCAGUUGUAGUCGAUUCAACAAAGGUUGUUGUAGGAGUUUCUGUCACAGUAGUGGUGGAAGGUGUUGAAGAUACCGUUGAAGUUGUAGUAGAUGGAACAGAUGUCGUUGUUGGAGUUUCUGUCACAGAAGUCGUUGAAAGUGUUGUAGAUACCGUUGCACUUGUAGUAGAUGGAACAGAGGUCGUUGGUGGGGUUU